GACGUAGGGCGCGAGCGUUGUCCGGAUUUAUUGGGCGUAAAGGGCGCGUAGGCGGUUUGACAAGUCUGAUGUGAAAUCUAUGGGCUCAACCCAUAGCCUGCAUUAGAAACUGUCGGGCUUGAGUAUGGGAGAGGUGAGUGGAAUUUCCGGUGUAGCGGUGAAAUGCGUAGAUAUCGGAAGGAACACCUGUGGCGAAAGCGGCUCACUGGACCAUAACUGACGCUGAGGCGCGAAAGCUAGGGGAGCAAACAGG
rnacentral:rRNA from 1 species